AGCGACUGCGGAGGACAUUACA
rnacentral:rRNA from 1 species